CCAAGUCACCGCAUCCUUACUCAAAACAUGUCUUUAAAACCUGAAAACUUUCGUAAUAACACUGUUUUCUUUUGCAAAAAAAUUUGGUGGGGCUAAAGGUAUGGGGAGAUUAGAUUAUACUAAAGAUCUACUAUAUUCGGUGACUCGUCAGACUCAUGCAUUAUACUAAAAAGAAAAAAUAAACAACUAAAAGGAAAUAAACUACCUAAAGUGACUCGUCAGACUCAUGCAUUAUACUAAAAAGAAAAAAUAAACAACUAAAAGGAAAUAAACUACCUAAAAACAACAA
rnacentral:lncRNA from 1 species